rnacentral:rRNA from 1 species
UAAACUAGGAUUAGAUACCCUAUUAUUUUAAAUAUAAAAUUUUACUGAGGUAUUAAUAGUUUUGUUCUUUAAACCUAAAGGAUUUGGCGGUGUUUUAGUCUAUUCAGAGGAACUUGUUUCGUAAUCGAUAGUCCCCGUUUUAUCUUGCUUUAAUUUGUUUUCAUUAUGUAUACCGCCGUUAUAAGUUUAUUUUAUUAGGAUCUAUUUACUUUUAAUAUAUUUUAUUAUAUUUCAGGUCAAGGUGCAGUUUAUAUUGAAGUGUUUAAUGAGUUACAAUAUAUUUUGUUUAUAUGGAUAUAAAAUUGAAAUUUAUUUUAUUGAAGGUGGAUUUGUUAGUAAUUUUAUUUAUUUUAAUUUUUUGAUUUUAGCUCUAAAAUGAGUACACAUCG